GCCGAACAGAGCAGGCGGACUAAAACUUUGUUAUCGAGGGCAGAGCAAAACCGGAAGGUUUACUGAGCUGUGGCUUCACGUAAACGCUGAGCAUCCACUCGAUGGCGGUCAGGUUUUUAUAUGGAACGAAUCCAAAUACCAGGUCAGCGAUUCCAGAACCCAGAGUGUUCCAGUGUUCACUGGAUGGCGAGUCAACCCAAGAUCCUAGGAGACGAUAUACAUACACGCGCACACUCAAUUGCACAUUGAUGGACUACAAUCCUCUACUGUACAAGUAGUGCGGUAGGACAGACAGUCACACACACACACUCCUCAUUGGACGAACUCUAAUGCAAUACACCCGUUUGUCAUGGGCCCCACCGGUACCAUUUGGACUGAAAAAGACUAAUUCUUUUACUUGUGCACAAUUUUAUUUUAUACUUGAAGUUCUGUUAAAACCUGUUGUAAUUCAGUGUUGGUUACAAAAAAUUUUAAACGGCUUAACACCACUAAAGUACUUUUAAGCCACACAACUGUGUUUGUCUGGUUUCUCUACCAUUCAUGUACCAGAGCUCUAAGAGUCGUUCUUAAUCUUCUGAUACUAGCCCAAAUUACUCAUUACCUUGGUAAUUAUCCAUUGGUACUGUAUAUAACUCCACGUAAGUGCUACAAGAGUCCUAAAACUAUAGUAGUAAUCAAUGUAAGCAUAUGUUCUGUUCCCACAUCCCACAUCACUACAAAUGGAAAUGUGGUAUUUUUGCCAGUAAGCGAACGCAGCAGCACAGAAGGAAACCUAAGCGGUGUUAAUGGAAUUCGGUGACCUGUUGUGUACAC